rnacentral:rRNA from 1 species
GACGAACGCUGGCGGCGUGCUUAACACAUGCAAGUCGAGCGGUAAGGCCCUUUCGGGGGUACACGAGCGGCGAACGGGUGAGUAACACGUGGGUGACCUGCCCUCAGCUCUGGGAUAAGCCUGGGAAACUGGGUCUAAUACCGGAUAUGACUCCAUGACGCAUGUUGUGGGGUGGAAAGCCUUGUGCGGCUGAGGAUGGGCCCGCGGCCUAUCAGCUUGUUGGUGGGGUGAGGCCUACCAAGGCGACGACGGGUAGCCGGCCUGAGAGGGCGACCGGCCACACUGGGACUGAGACACGGCCCAGACUCCUACGGGAGGCAGCAGUGGGGAAUCCUGCGCAAUGGGCGAAAGCCUGACGCAGCGACGCCGCGUGAGGGAUGACGGCCUGG